AUGUCACUCCCUUCCGUCCUUCUGUGUAUUCUCGCCCUCUUCGGAACGAGUCUCCGGGCGGCCUCCCUUCACCCAGACCGAGUCAGACCUUCAGCCCCGCCUUCUUCGCCUCCUGCAGCCCCGCCUUCUUCGCCUCCUGCAGCCAACACCCUAAGAAAAACCUGGUCUUGGAAGAUCGUGAACGGGACGGCCCACUCCUCCUCGGGAUCUCUCUUACUCUCCUUCGUCCCGCCCGCCAAAACCCUUCGUCAACGCCCAUCAGAACCACCCCCGCCCAGGCCGCCCAUCCCCACGGCUGACACCUAUCCCCGGCCGAGAGUUCCCCCGCCCACGGUCGUCAGGAGUGCCGUGCUGGAGGUCCUGGAAGCCAAUAACCAGUGGGUGGGCGAGGUCGUGGAGGCCGUCGGCGACACCUCAGCGCCAUCUGUUAGGGAGAUUCGAAGCGCCAGGAUUCCCCGAGCCCGAAGAGGAGGCCGAGGCGAGGGCGCGGGAAGCACAGGCUCGUCCCUCGACCUGAUCCGGCUGGUGACGCGAGACGGGUCGGCUCCUGUGCUAAGAGGUCCCUCUGCCAGCUCAACGCCAGAGCCAGGGAGGCGCCUUCGUCGUCCUUCUCCAAGAGGCUCAUCCCGCUCUCCAGGUGACUGUCCGAACAUUGACUUUUCCUCCAAACAGAUUCUGUUGCUCCGCAAUCAUGGUGUUGUGUGCUGUGGAGAGACAGUUGAGGAAGCUUGGUAUAAUACAUACCAUACAGUCCUUGCCUGUGAGACACAGAUGCGCAUGGCACCUCUGGGUCUUGACAACCUUGUAGUUGUGACUGAUGAAGCACGGCAGGCAGCUUAUGAAGUAGCUCGGCGAGGAGGAGGAGGGGUUGAUAGCAAGCAGGAAGGGGGCCCAGCUGCUCAAGGUCAGAAGGAGCGCAAAUGGAAAGUUGGCGAACUGGAGUUUGAAGCUCUUAUGAGAUCUCUGGAUAAUGCAGGUCUUAGAACAGGGUACAUCUACCGAAGACCAUUGGUAAAGCAGGAAACAGCAAGAGUGCAAAGCGAUGUGGCGCUCCCCCCCACAGCCUCCAACUACACACACCUCUUUGAUGAGGACGAUAUUACACGGAGUCCACUGAAGCGCAUCCUGGACGGACGCAAGACUCAGGACAAGACCCGGUGGCUAAACUCUCCCAAUGUCUACCAGAAGGUGGAAGUACUGGAGACCGGCACUCCGGAUCCCAAGAAGAUCACCAAGUGGGUGGCAGAUGGGUCCCCCACACACUCUACUUCGACUCCUGUCAAAGUGGAAUCUGCGCUCCAGUUUGUUCCAACCAAUACAAACCCUAAGGAGUUCAAGACGAUCCAGAAGAUGAUCAAAGAGAACCGUCGUGUGGGCAGCAUCACAUCUGGGCCAACUUCCCACCUACUGGAAGGUGUGACCUGGGAUGAGGCUCGUCGUAUGCAAGAUGCCAGCAUGUCAGCUGCCUCUGACCAUGUCAUCCUGGUUGGAGCUGCUUCCAAGGGAAUCAUCCAGCGGGACUUCCAGCACAAUGCUGUCGUGUACAAAACACCAUAUGCAAAAAAUCCUUCGAUAGUGUGACUGAUAAGGAGCUUGAUGAAUAUCGUGAGCUUGUGGAACGCAAGCAGCGAGGAGAGCCAAUUGAAGAGAUUGAGAUCGAGAAGAUGAACAUCAUGCCAGAGCGAGCAACUGUAGAUGUAGUGGAUGACUCUGUGCAGGACUCCAUCCUGAACACAACAGCUCCCACCAGUCCUACCUCGGACCAGGAAGUGGCGAAUGAGAAGCGCUCAGCACUCCAGCGCCGUUCUUGGUCUCUGUCUCGUAAAGGGGAGACAGUAGCCAAUGGUGAUGAUACAGAGGCACACCACAGCACUCUCUCGCAAAGCAGUAAAGAGGGCUCUCCAACAAGGACACCUCCCUAACAGAUGACUCAAUCUCCAAGGACAAGAAGAAGAAGAAGAAGGGCCUGCGUACCCCAAGCUUCCUGAAGAAGAAGAAGGACAAGAAGAAGGAGAAGGAGGCUGCCCACCACUAGUGCCCCAAGUCCCCAUUUCCUUCAUAGACUCCCGUCUCUGGUAGACCAAUGCUGACACUGCCAGAAUCUGUAGAUAGCAAAGAGGAAUAUAUUGUGGGAGCCCCUUCAUGGUGCUGGCGAGAGGCGUGCUGCUGACAUUGUUCAUCGGAUCCAAGACUUGUCAACCUAAAUUCCCUGUCAGCCUAUUUCUAUGUUCUCCCUUUCUUUUCAUUCAGUUUUACAGAUAAGGCAGUGUUAGUGAUGAAAGCUAUACUUUAUUGUGUAAUUUUUAGUGGUACUAUUUGUAGUAUGUAGAUUUUCACCAAAACAGUUUUAGGUUUCAAGAUGAAGCUAAAAAAAUUAAUAGCUUUGUGAUGAUGAAAAUUUGAAUAUUUUAUUGAUAUCUGUUAGGCUCUCUAUAUGAUUUGGAUCCUUUUGUUAAUCCCAGGUUAUUGUAGCUGGUCAACUUCAGCUUUCAUUAGAGUGCCUCAAGUCAAGUUUUAGAUGCUGAUGAACACCUUCAUGUCAAUGCUUGAUGCGAGUGAUAGUGUGUAUGGAUGUGUGAAACUUGCUAUCAUGCAGAAGUUAAAAUGCAGACAAACAGUACACCAGUGAUGUAUGUAAUGUCUUGGUUGUUUCAUAACGAUACCCACCUGCUCUAAAAGGCACAAGUCCCCAGGUCAGCUUGUGCCAACUCAUACAGAAUUUAGUAAUGUACAAUCAUAAGUGAUUUUACAGUCUUGGCACACCCUGACUUGCAGACUAAGAAGGGUUAUUUAACUAUGAUUCAUUUUAUUUCUUCAUGUGGAUGAAUGAGUGCAACACCAGCCCAUUCUCCUUUUACUAUCGUCCUUCCACGGAUAGUUGUCGGAUCAGCGGUCUCUCAUCUCACCCCACCAAGUCUCACCAUUUGCACCAAAUGGUUCACAAGAUGAAAGAGAGACUAGUAGAUGGCUCUUUUGAUCUUCCCAACCCUAAUUUUGUUCCAUUUUAGACCUCACAUAAGGAGGUUACAUGGAAGUGAAAAACCUUCUGCUUUUUUUUUUUUUUUUUUACGAGUCUGACCUCAACUAUUAGGAAUGGAAGGACCACAGUAUCUGCUGGGAUGCUCUCCUGUCAGUUGUCAUUUCUGUCCCUCAUCAGUAUCAGAAGACUUGCUCUCCUGGUCUGUGGCAUCUUCAUUCUUCCUGUUAAACCUUGAACUUGUGUCCAGAAAAGAAAUUAUUUGUUGAUACCGAUAGCUGUGACUGGUCAAUUGCUUGGGUCACCAUUUGCGUCAUCCAGCUGAUUUGCCUGUGUCAUGUCUUUAUUUUAUGUAAUACGCCUUGAGCACCUAUGCUCAGAAGACAUUCAAUGGCUGUAAAAUUGUAGGGAAGCGACUUUGUCACUGACAUGAAAUUUGACAUUCAGCUGGAGAUGCUGGUGGUUGUUGUAGGACCACUUUUAUCUUCUCCUGCUGCUAGAAGGUGGAUUGUUUUAUUAGCUACACAUUCAUUUUUUAAUCACAGCUUAGCACUGUUUUAUAUACAUCUGUAUUAUAGCAACUGAAUAAAUCAUUAUUAUAAUUAUUAUUAUAUGAAUAUGCAGGCAGCUGAUUUUAGCUUGUUUUGGAAAGAAAAUAAAAUGUCCCAACUCCACAAAGUCUUAUGUCUUCAUUCUUUCAUUCCAUAACCUUGUGUUUGUAUGUAUUUAUUUCUAUUUAGGAAUAGUUUGUUAUUUUGGGAGGCUCUUUACUAAUAAUCAUGUUUUUAAUGAGGUUGUAAAUUGUACACCAGCCAUGAUAGCCAUUAAAAGAAGUGAAACUACCGAUUGUUCUUUCCGGAAACUAGUGCUGCUGUAUUGAAUAAAAAAUUCAGGAUCUCCAUAA